AUCACUGUUCAAAGAAGAAAGUAUUUUCUUUCUUUUUUUUUUAAGAAAGUAUUUUCAACUGAAUGAUAAUGAAAAUACUACAUAUCAAAACUGCAGAGAUAUUGCUUAGUGCUUAGAAAUUUAUAGCUUAAAAGAUAUUUCAGAAAAUCAGAAAACCUGGUAAUUAAUCACCUAAGCAACACUUCAAAAAGAAAAUCAUAUCCUAAUGGAAGUUACAACAAGGAAGUAAUAAACAGCAGAAACUAACAAAACAGAAAAACAUAGAGACCAGAGCCAAAUGUCUGUGUUUUGGAAGGGAUUAAUAAAACUGACAAACUUCUGGUGAGACUGAACAAGAAAAAAAGAGCCUGAAUAACCAAAGUCAGGGAUAAAAAGGGAGAAUACAGAGAACUGUAAAUUUUUCUUCUCUGAACAUACACUGACCUCCUUGCUCUCUGCUAUUCUGAGAGAAUAGCUCACUCCUAAACUCCUGACUCAACAAUUCUGAGAACAGGAAUGUAACAGUCACGAUGAGCCAAAUCAGAAAGAAGCACAACUCAUUUCUGUAAGACUGCAAUAACUAAAAAAAAAAAAAAAAAUCGCAAUACCUACCAAAACUGCAGUAUUCAGUGCUGCUUCUGUUUCUUUCCCGUGUAAAACCUCUCAUUCCUCAUGUUUGGAGAGACAUUCCCUUUAAAUCUUUCCCUGUUACAACAGUUUGAAUAAAUUCCCUUGAAGUCUCAGCAGAUUUCUUAAGUUUUGUGUUACAAAUGCUACAGACAUUAAAAAAAUAAGAUAUUAUAUCACAGUUUUGUGCCAAUAAAUUAGAAAUUUUAUUUGAACUGAGAAAAUUCCUAGGGGGAAAGAAACAAGACCUACUAAAGGUCACACAGUUGGGAGGAGUAUGGGAAAGAUUCUGAAGUGAGUUCAGUCCUUAUGGAUCUCACAGGAGGAGUGAGUGGAGGGAGAAGCAAUAGAGAGGGAAGGGAAAACCUUGAUAAACAGUAAGUUUGAAAAAGCUUUCCAUAGGAGCGCACUCUAUUUCUAGUGAAUCUGUCUGAAAGCAAAAGCCUGAAAAAUGAUUUCAUCAGGGUUUAUGUACAGAGACACUAUGGGUAAAAAGUUCUGAAUAUCAGCUAUGAAAUGCAAGGGAACUUUUCCCUCAUGAGAUUAAAAAAUGAGACAUGGUCACCUAAGGAUCAGCUAGCUGAGGACAGACAGUUGGGACCUGAAGUCUGUCUGCAUCAGGACCUUAAGGUUUCCUAGGGAAUUCUCUGGCCUGGGAAGUCUCUCCAUGCCUCUUCCCCAACCUCAGCUGAGGGCCUUGACUGGAGGCAUGCAGAAGGAAGUCAGAAUAUUUAACUCGAUUUUUCUUUCCAUUGAGUGUUCCCAUUUAGACCUGGCAGUUCUUCUCAGGCUGUGAAUAGUAUCAGUUAUGCUCAGGAAGGAGUUUGUGUGAAUCCCACGCAGAGAGGCAACACAGUGUAGUAGCCAAGAGCAGUCUCUCCGCCAUGAAGCUGGGGUUCAAGCAAGGACUCUCACUUAUUCCCGGAUGACUAAGCAAGUAACUAAACCUUCUGCUUUUUUUGCUCAUGUGUCCUCAUCUACCUCUUGUUGGGAUAAUAAUGGUGACAACCUCAGAGGUUGUAAUGAGGGUUGGGGAGGUUACUGUUAUUAGAGCCCUUAGAAAUGUGCUUGGAAUGAGAAGCAUUUGUAGAAGGGUGUGGGAAGUAAGUCUGACAGUGUGAUGGCCCCUGUCCAAGGAUUCAUACAUCUAGACGGACACUCAGGCAAUGGAAUACAGCCCCAUCUUCAAGCCAACAAAAUCCCCCAAGGACUACCCCACACAAGGUUUGAGAAGAAAUUUUUUUUUGGAUAUGUUUACCCUGUGGUAUUUGCUUCUAAGCAAGCAAUCCAUUGUUUCUAAGCAAAUAUGCUUUUUUUUUUUUUUUUUUCUGGAAAAGGGGUCAACAAGAAGAGCCUCCAGCUCUAGUCCAGUGACCCAGAGUGUUGAGUUGAUCAAGGGCUGCUUCACACUUGCUUCUCUGGCUAGGCAGCCUGCCCACUCAUGCUGUACACAGUUUUCUCCCCACUCCCUCCCCAUCCCUCUGUUUUCUUGGUAAUAGGCAUACUGGAGACUACUGAAGGAAGGAUUGGUGAGAGCCAAGCUUCCACCAUCUUAACCAUGGCUGUUGUGGGUAAGUGUUCCUGAAGACCUCAGAGAAUAAAAGGAGGCCCUGGAAUGGGAGAAGUUCCUCUGGUCUGGGGUCAGUAUUCUGGUGAAUGUGAUAAUUAUCUAUAAUUUCCCCAUUUGUAAAAAUGAAGGAAAAGACCCAACUCACAAGGUUGCUUUGAGGAUUAAUGAGAAAGCACUUUGUAUUUUAUAAAACUUCACAUAAACAUUAUUGUUAAGUUGAUUAAUGAUCUGUCUUAUUUUUAAAAGUUAAAGGAGAUAAAGAAGAGAGUAAAAAGCAAUGAAACUGUAACACAACAGGAUCAAAAGUCAAGCUCCCAGAGGGAAGAGGAGCCAAGUGCUUGGAAAGGGAACUGUCACCUGGGAGUCAGUAACCAAAUCCCAGAGCCUGGAGAACUCAGCACCACUUCUGGAAGUUCCCACAACUGCCCAGACAUGACAAGACCCUACUACUUUAAUACCAUCCUCAAAAAUGUUGAGGUUCACUUAGCAUGUUGUCCUGUUACUAGAAAUACCAGAUUUAGCAAAACAAUUAAAAAAAAAUCAGGACAGCCAGUAAAAUUUGAAUUCCAGAUAAACAAGGAACAGUCUUUUUUUAGUGUUAAGUAUGUCUCAUGCAAUAACAAUUAUUCCUUGUUUGUCUGAAGUUCAAAUUUAAUUGGGUGUCCUGUGUUUUAUCUGGCAACUCAA